rnacentral:tRNA from 1 species
AGUCCAUUAGCUCAAUCGGGAGAGCGCUUCCUUUACACGGAAGAGGUAGUUGGUUCGAAACCGACAUGGACUACCA